rnacentral:rRNA from 1 species
UACAGAGGGGGCAAGCGUUAUUCGGAAUUAUUGGGCGUAAAGGGCGCGUAGGCGGCUUUUCAAGUGACGGGUGAAAUCCCUCGGCUUAACCGAGGAACUGCCUGUCAGACUGGAAGGCUUGAGACCGGGAGAGGUGAGUGGAAUUCCCAGUGUAGCGGUGAAAUGCGUAGAUAUUGGGAGGAACACCAGUGGCGAAGGCGGCUCACUGGACCGGUACUGACGCUGAUGCGCGAAAGCGUGGGGAGCAAACAGG